GGGAUGAGAGGCAUCUAACUCAGGGUGUGA
rnacentral:piRNA from 1 species